UGGGCGGCUGAAUCUCCGCCAUGGUGUCCUCCAGACCCGCGUUUAGCCGACUUUCCUCUGGACUGUGGUUGUGCUGGCUGCACGUGUGUCAGUCGCGGCAGUAAAGUGUGACACGCAACAUUACGUCAACAUGGAGGAAGCAGGAAGAAGUCUCCCGCGCUUAUUGACGUCUUUUGGACUUUAUGGACCCCGACUUUUGCUUCCAAGGACAAACUCCGACUCCUUCACUGGCACUUGAAGACACCAAUCACUACAUGGACAUAAUAAGUCUAACAUUUAUCUAACAGCAGCAGAGUAGAGUGUGUUACAGCUGGUUGUGAAAAGGAUUGUGAAGGUUUCAAACAUCUGGAGAGCCAGUUCUCUGGAGGCGGACACUGCACACCUGAACCUGGGCAACCUACCUGAACCAUCCACUCUGUCAGCUGUGUGGUGUGUCAGUGCUGCUGCUGUGCCAGGCUAUGUUAGUGUUUGUCAUGGUGACUGUAACAUUGCCUCUGACGUUGUAUAAGGCUCGUAUUAACUUCUGGUGCAUUCAGACAAGGAGCUGGAGGAAACAGAGGAGGCAGAUGACGGACAUGGCGGUGGAGCAUUUAACUGAGAGAGAUGAGAUGCAACACCAACGGUCAUUUUAUAUGAAAGAUGCUUAGCCACGGAUUGUUCUGAAAACUGGUGGUGCUAGUUUGCUAGUUUCAAGUUCCUCCAGGCGUUUCUCCAGAAUACUGAGCCUGUGUAGCCCAGAAAGACUCUCGAGCUGAGCUUCCAGUGCUAAGAGCCUUCCUUCCACCUCUGAUGACUGCAAGACAGACAAUUACCAUAAUUAUAACCUCACUUUGAAUCUACGAAAGUCGGAGUGUGGGACUUUUACAUUACAUUCACUCCCUUGCCAAACAAGUCCACAAAAUGCUGAUAAGCCUAGACCAGGCAUGUCCAAACCAUUCCAUGAAGGGCCGUGUGGCUGCAGGUUUUGUUCCAACCAGUCAAGAGGUCACCUAGUUAUCAGCUGAAGAAUGAGAUCAGCUGAUUAAAU